AUGAACCACACUCCUAAUCUACCAGAAACGGGCAUAUCUCAUGAUCAGUCAUUCCUCAAAGAAACAAGGCGUCGAGAAUGCAAAUCACGCGAUAAUAACAGUAGGAAAACUAAAAAGAUGACUCCGCUGUACUCUCCUUCACUGAGAUCAGCUGAAGGUGUCACAUCUCCAGAGGACACCCUGAAUUCAGGUGGCCUUCGGGAAACCACCAAGCCUCGCUAUGUCCUAGCAAUGGGGUGCAAUCUGACUACAGCGCAGAAGGCAGAAGUCGACGCGCUUGUGAGGAAAGUUAGGCCUGCUAUUCCAUUUUACAUCACAGCCAUGAACAAGACAAGUAUGUCUGGAUCUCUGGUCAUCUGCAAGGAUUACGCUUCCAAAUACCUUCCAGAUGGAGACCAAUUCAUCACACUCUGCCAUCCUCAUAAGAGCAACAUAUGGAUAGACAAUUUGAAGGUUAUCACUGAUGGUUCCCGCAUGCUUUCUGUUGGCUGGUCGUGCUUCGUUCUCCACAACGAGUUGCGGGAAAGUGACAUCUACCUAUUUGAAGUAUCGAAAAACAACGGUGAAGUGACAAUGGUUGUUCAUUCUCUUGAAGGAGCUCAUCACUUACAAGGGAAAGACCUCGAAUCUCAAAAAAGGCGCAGAUAUCCAGUUAAGGCCGAGGCCACCGAGGAUGAGGAGAGUGACAAGGAACAUGCUGAGUCCAACUACUACUACUCAAGGCAUGCCAAUGGCCUGACCAGCGAUGAGCAAGAGGAGAUAUUCAGGUCAGCGUUGAUCCAACAGGGCAAUCCCGUGUACUUCGCCGUCCUGGGGAAGAAUCACGUUAAAAAGGGGAACAACUUGCUGACCAUCCCUAAAAAGUUUGCGGCGAAGCAUCUCGCGGCGAGGUCACAUGACAUCCUGCUCCUGAGACCCAGCAGGGGAAGGAAGUGGUGCGUGAGGUACUACUGUCAUUCGAAGUUAAGGGGUUUCAGCAACAGUCCAUGGAGCAAGUUCGUCCGCGACAACAAGCUGCGCGAGGGCCACAUCUGCAUCUUCGAGCUGAUCAAAGGCGUGCAUAAGGCGACGAUGAUUGUCCACGUGUUCAGGAAGGUUGAUGGCAGGCUUGUUCUGCUGGACUAA
rnacentral:rRNA from 1 species